UUUAUCCCUUUGAGUUGUCUUUCGUUUACCCGGAUGCUUGGUAUCGAUUGUCUCUCUUUUUGGUUAGUCACCUAUUAUAUACUUCGAUAUCUCUGGUGUCUUUCCCUUUCGAGUAUAUUAUUCACGGUCUGCCGGUAAUGAAUAGUAUAUCUCAUGCGCUCUUUGGUUGGAAUCCUCUGUUGAUCUUCCCCAGUCGAGUAAGAUUCGUAUUCUUUGUAGAAUCGAAUAUCCAUCCCUUAACCAGUUUGUGUUUUGGAUGAUGAGUGUUUU
rnacentral:lncRNA from 1 species